AGGCCUUGACAUGCAGAGAACUUUCCAGAGAUGGAUUGGUGCCUUUCGGGAACGUCUGACACAGGUGCUGCAUGGCUGUCGUCAGUUCGUGUCGUGAGAUGUUGGGUUAAGUCCGUAACGAGCGCAACCCUUGUCCUUAGUUACCAGCACGUUAUGGUGGGCACUCUAAGGAGGACUGCCGGUGACAAACCGGAGGAAGGUGGGGAUGACGUCAAGUCAUCAUGGCCCUUACGGCCUGGGCUACACACGUGCUACAAUGGUCGGUACAAAGGGUUGCCAAGCCGCGAGGUGGAGCUAAUCCCAUAAAACCGAUCGUAGUCCGGAUCGCAGUCUGCAACUCGACUGCGUGAAGUCGGAAUCGCUAGUAAUCGUGAAUCAGAAUGUCACGGUGAAUACGUUCCCGGGCCUU
rnacentral:rRNA from 1 species